GCUUUGUAUUGAUCGAAUGAAAAUAAUACCAAAACUGGCACCAGGCCCACAUAUUUUGGAUCUGUAUGGACUCGACCCAACAGAGAUAAGCCCCAAAAAAGCUCACUCAGUUUAGCGGGUUGGCGCCUUCGGAGAGAACUAGCUCUGUUUCCUCAGAUCCUCUUCUUCCACCUAACCAGAAGAGUUUCUCUCUUUCUCCCUCACACACAACACACACUCGAGGGACACAGAGCUUUCUCCGGUCAUCCACGGACGCAAAGCUGCGUUGAAGAAACCUUAAUUUGCCGACAAAUUGAAAUACCGUCCAGUUUCCAUAUAACAUUAUGGACUGAUGGAGAUCUCGGAAGAAGCUGUGAUUGUAAAUUCUAGUAGACUGAAAUCUGUUGUAUGGAAUGAUUUUGACAGAGUUAAGAAAGGGGAGACGUUUGCAGCUAUAUGUCGGCACUGUAAAAGAAUACUUAGUGGGUCAAGUACUAGUGGAACAUCUCAUUUGAGAAAUCAUUUGAUCAGGUGUCGUAGAAGAUCAAACCAUGAUAUAACUCAAUUAUUAACAAGGGGAAAGAGGAAGCAAAACACCCUUGCGCUUACCAGUUUCAGUUAUAAUCAAGCUCCAGUAAAGAAUGAGGUAGUUACUGUUGCGAGUACAAAUUUGGAACAAGGGCUAAAAGUUGGAAAUAUUAACACAGGCAGUGUCAAUUUUGAUUACAGGAGAAGUCAGCUAGAUCUGGCACGGAUGAUUAUAAUGCAUGGAUAUCCCCUGGGCAUGGUUGAUGAUAUUGGUUUCAAGACACUUGUUCGAAACCUUCAGCCCUUGUUUGAUCUAGUAACAGUUAGUGAAGUUGAGGCUGACUGUAUGGAGAUCUAUAAAAAAGAGAAACAAAGAGUGUAUGAAGAGUUGGAUAAAUUGCCUGGAAAAGUCAGCCUUACUGUUGAUAGAUGGGCUACUAAUGGAGGCACAGAAUAUUUAUGCUUGAUAGCUCAUUAUAUUGAUGAUUCUUGGGAACUAAAGAAGAAGAUUUUGAACUUUUUGGUUGUUGAUCCUACCCAGGCAGAAGACUCGCUUUCCGAAUUAGUCAUGACAAGUCUUAGGAAUUGGGAUAUCGAUAGGAAGUUGUUCUCAUUGACUAUUGACAAUCGUUCGACCUAUGACAGAAUUGUCCAUAGAAUCAGAGACCAACUGUGUCAGCACAGGUUCCUUAUGUGUGAAGGCCAAUUAUUUGAUGUGCGAUGUGCAGCAAGUACUGUUAAGUUAUUGGUCCAUGAUGUCCUGCAAACAUCAGGUGAGAUAAUCAAUAAAGUUCGUGAAACCAUAGGAUAUGUUAAAGGUUCUCAGGGAACACAAGAAAAGUUCAAUGAGAUAGUACAAUUAGUUGGUAUUAAUUGGCAGAAGGGCUUGUUCAUUGAUAAGCCAUUUCGAUGGAACUCAACAUAUAUGAUGCUUGAAGCUGCGUUGGAGUGCAAAGAAGCCUUCCCUCAACUGCAAGAACAUGAUCCUGGCUUCUCAAUGUGUCCAUCUGGUUUAGAUUGGGACAGAUUGAGGGCUAUUACCAGCAUCUUGAAGUUCUUUCAUGAAGUUUUUAAUGUCUUUGUGGGACGCAAGCAUAUUACUGCAAAUUCCUAUUUUGCUGAGAUUUGUGAUAUUCAUUUGCAGUUGAUUGAAUGGUGCCAGAAAUCAGAUGAUUUUAUUAGCUCUUUGGCAUUGAAAUUAAAAUCAAAAUUUGAUGAAUAUUGGAAGAAAUGCAGCUUGAUUAUGGCAAUUGCAGCCAUCUUAGAUCCACGGUUUAAGAUGAAACUGGUGGAAUAUUACUACCCACAAAUCUACGGCGAUAGCGCUCCAGAUUGCAUAGACAUUGUCUCCAAUUGUAUGAGAGCUCUUUACAGCGGUCAUGCUAUCUAUUCACCAUUAGCUGCUCAUGGUCAAAGCUCAGCUUCUGAAAGUAGUGGUAGUAUUGUUAAGGAUAGACUUACUGGGUUUGACAGAUUCCUCCAUGAAACUUCACUUAGCCAAAACACAAAAUCAGACUUAGACAAGUAUUUGGAAGAACCGUUCUUCCCCCGCAGUGUUGAUUUUAGUAUACUAAACUGGUGGAAAGUUCACGAACCAAGAUACCCUGUGCUUUCCAUGAUGGCCCGCAACAUAUUGGGGAUUCCAAUUUCAAAAGUUGCACAGGAAUCCCUGUUUGAUACUGGAGAUAGGGCCCUUGAUCAUUGUUGGAGCUCACUGAAAUCAGAUACUUUACAAGCUUUGAUGUGUUCUCAGGAUUGGAUGCGCAAUGAAUUAGAAGUAAUUGAUUCCAAAAGUUCCGGAACUCCUGUUUUUGCCUUGCGCUAUGAUACAAAUUAGCAAAUCCUGGCUUGUGUGGAGUUGCUGGGUGAAGAAAUGUUCUGAUCCCAUCCUGGUUCUGUUUCAGCACAGUUGAUGGCGUAAAAGUCUCCUCAGGGGAAAGCUGUGAGGAAUGCUUUGACAUCAUUAACAAGAGUAGCAAAGUUAGUGCAGUUGGUAUAAAUUGCGCACCGCCAAAUUCUGUUCUAAGCCUUAUAAAGAGAUUCAAAGAGCGUACUGCUAAGGUAAUAGUUGUCUAUCCCAACAGCGGUGAGACACGGGAUGGCACUGCUAAAACAUGGCAGGUGGGAUAAACCAUAACAACAGCGAUUGUGCAAUUCCAAGUAUAAUCUAAAACUAUUGAUUGGACUUGUGUUUUCAGCCAUCAAAAUGUGUUCAUGAUGAGUUUGAGCUGUUGGCGACGACAUGGAGAAAUGCUGGAGCUAAGCUCAUAGGUGGCUGCUGUCGGACUACGCCUUCUACAAUUCGUUCAAUUUCUAGAGUUCUCAAGGACAACUGACUUUUUGAACUAGGAGCUGAUAGUUUCUAUUUUUGUAAUAAAUAAAUUGUAAAAAAAAAUUAAGUUUGGUUGAAGGAAAAAUAGGAAGUUCAGGAAAACGGUUUAAUCCUUACCAUUUUACUGAUAACAGUUGGUAAAGGGAUCUGAUUGUAAGUUUUGGUUUAAUCAAUUUAAUUUAAGAAUUUUGAAAUGGAAAUUAUAAAUUAAUAACUUUUUA